ACGAACGCUGGCGGCGUGCUUAACACAUGCAAGUCGAACGAUGAACCGCUUUCGGGCGGGGAUUAGUGGCGAACGGGUGAGUAACACGUGGGCAAUCUGCCCUGCACUCUGGGACAAGCCCUGGAAACGGGGUCUAAUACCGGAUAUGACUGUCCAUCGCAUGGUGGAUGGUGUAAAGCUCCGGCGGUGCAGGAUGAGCCCGCGGCCUAUCAGCUUGUUGGUGAGGUAGUGGCUCACCAAGGCGACGACGGGUAGCCGGCCUGAGAGGGCGACCGGCCACACUGGGACUGAGACACGGCCCAGACUCCUACGGGAGGCAGCAGUGGGGAAUAUUGCACAAUGGGCGAAAGCCUGAUGCAGCGACGCCGCGUGAGGGAUGACGGCCUUCGGGUUGUAAACCUCUUUCAGCAGGGAAGAAGCGAAAGUGACGGUACCUGCAGAAGAAGCGCCGGCUAACUACGUGCCAGCAGCCGCGGUAAUACGUAGGGCGCAAGCGUUGUCCGGAAUUAUUGGGCGUAAAGAGCUCGUAGGCGGCUUGUCACGUCGGUUGUGAAAGCCCGGGGCUUAACCCCGGGUCUGCAGUCGAUACGGGCAGGCUAGAGUUCGGUAGGGGAGAUCGGAAUUCCUGGUGUAGCGGUGAAAUGCGCAGAUAUCAGGAGGAACACCGGUGGCGAAGGCGGAUCUCUGGGCCGAUACUGACGCUGAGGAGCGAAAGCGUGGGGAGCGAACAGGAUUAGAUACCCUGGUAGUCCACGCCGUAAACGGUGGGCACUAGGUGUGGGCAACAUUCCACGUUGUCCGUGCCGCAGCUAACGCAUUAAGUGCCCCGCCUGGGGAGUACGGCCGCAAGGCUAAAACUCAAAGGAAUUGACGGCGGCCCGCACAAGCGGCGGAGCAUGUGGCUUAAUUCGACGCAACGCGAAGAACCUUACCAAGGCUUGACAUACACCGGAAACGUCUGGAGACAGGCGCCCCCUUGUGGUCGGUGUACAGGUGGUGCAUGGCUGUCGUCAGCUCGUGUCGUGAGAUGUUGGGUUAAGUCCCGCAACGAGCGCAACCCUUGUCCCGUGUUGCCAGCAGGCCCUUGUGGUGCUGGGGACUCACGGGAGACCGCCGGGGUCAACUCGGAGGAAGGUGGGGACGACGUCAAGUCAUCAUGCCCCUUAUGUCUUGGGCUGCACACGUGCUACAAUGGCCGGUACGAUGAGCUGCGAUACCGNGAGGUGGAGCGAAUCUCAAAAAGCCGGUCUCAGUUCGGAUUGGGGUCUGCAACUCGACCCCAUGAAGUCGGAGUCGCUAGUAAUCGCAGAUCAGCAUUGCUGCGGUGAAUACGUUCCCGGGCCUUGUACACACCGCCCGUCACGUCACGAAAGUCGGUAACACCCGAAGCCGGUGGCCCAACCCCUUGUGGGA
rnacentral:rRNA from 1 species